CCCUUAGAUGUUCUGGGCCGCACGCGCGCUACACUGACGAAUGCAACGAGCUUAUAACCUUGGCCGAAAGGUCUGGGUAAUCUCCAAAUUUCGUCGUGAUGGGGAUAGAUUAUUGCAAUUAUUAAUCUUCAACGAGGAAUGCCUAGUAAGCGCAAGUCAUCAGCUUGCGUUGAUUACGUCCCUGCCCUUUAUACACACCGCCCGUCGCUCCUACCGAUUGAAUGGUCCGGUGAAGCGCUCGGACCGCGGCCUCUUGACGGUUUUCCGUCGAUUGGCUGUGGGAAGUUCGUUAAACCUUAUCAUUUAGAGGAAGGAGAAGUCGUAACA
rnacentral:rRNA from 1 species